UCGUAAAACAAGUGUUCUCACCUUUAGCUACACUAUCACGGUUUCUUGGUGCGCACGUCCGCUGUAUAGUCUACCUCGCUCAACCUCGUUCAGUGGAGAAGGAUUUUAAAAGUGGCGACGAGAAAAAUCAAAAACUUAUAAUUACUGUGAUUCACACUGUCACCUAGCGAGGACGUUGCCAGAAGAAGGUAUAGAUUUCAUCGCUGCAGUGCGUAUCUCGCUUCAUCCAACUUGACGAAGUGCUGUAAAUUAGUUUCUCUUUGGUAGUAAUCAUCUUCAGCCGAUAUUAUUACGCAGUGCUUUUAUCACUUCCGGAACAUUCUGAAGUGGUAGAUACAAACAGCAGAGGAGUAGGACCGGUGUCAUCCAGGGCUAACAUAAAUCGGAGAAGGGUCGAUUCCUCCAGCGACGGCUGAAUUCUUCCAGCAACAGCUGAAAGUUGGUAACGAAGACGGAUUGGUCCGCUAUUAUUCCCAUCUUACGCAAUGAGUGCAAACAUGGCUUUCACCAUUGAGCCCUUUCGGCGUGGUGCCUCUUUUAACGAUUGGUUCACACGGUUAAGAUAUUUCUUCCGUGUGAACAACGUCCAGGAUGAAAAUAGAAUGGCAUAUUUUAUUACACUGAGCGGACCAGUUAUGUUCGAUGAAAUAAAGUUACUUUACCCGGCGGGGAAUUUCGAAGAAGCUGCUUUUGAUGACUUAAUUAGUAAGCUCAAGAGUCGCUUAGAUAAAAUAGAACCCGAUUUAGUGCAACGGUAUAAAUUCAGCACCAGGAUCCAGAAUCCGGAUGAAACCACUGAAGAUUUCGUUUUAGCUCUUAAACUUCAGGCUGAAUUUUGCGGGUUUAGUAAUUUUAAAGAAAUUGCAAUCCUCGACCGCCUCAUAGCGGGAAUGAAGGAUAAAAAUUUGAGACAACGUCUCCUAGGGGAGGAGAAGCUAACAUUGGCAAAUGCAGAAAGAAUUAUAGCAACAUGGGAGGUGGCAAGA